rnacentral:lncRNA from 1 species
GGGGAGAUAUAAAAACAAGGGAGAUAUAAAAACAAGGGAGAGAUAUAAACAAGGGAGAUAUAAACAAGGGAGAGAUAUAAACAAGGGAGAUAUAGAGAAAGAAGAAUCAGGACUGAAUAAACAUGUGCAGAAGGAUCCUGUAGCAGCGUCGUUCUUCCUGGCCUGUUGAGUGUGCGCAAGAAGUGGUGCUGAAACCCGGGAAAAGAAACAUCUUCAGGCAUGAGUGAAGACCCCCUGCUACAGGGAGGAUUCAGAACUGCAUCACGGGGAAGGAGUGGUUAAUAAAGGUUCCCGUAAAACAGACUGUUGAGAAGGAUCCGGCGUGGAUUCAGAACUCUUCAGCUGGGGAACGGUACUGAUGAAGAGAAAGAAGAAAGAUGAGGACGGAAUAAACUGCUGUUAGAAGGACUGGUGGUCGCGUCGUUCUUGCUGGUCGAGAGCGGGCGCGACAAUUGGUGGCCCGUACGGGGAACCGACUCCCCCACCGAGUUCAGAACUUUCAGCAGUCAGUGGUUGCCGGCAGGGACCAGAUGGAACCUCUUUGGGUGCCGGAGAGAUUGGUGAGACGCUGCAAGAAUGAGGCUCCUGAUCCAGUUGCCCCUGUGGAUGUGGUGGAUGAUCCCACAAGCACAAAGGAUGGAGCAGAGAUGGGAGAUCCUUUCGGUAUUCCAGAAGCCGAUACCAGCUCGACAUGACAUUCAAAUUUUUCCAC